CAACAGAGGACACCAUUGAAUCCAGCAAGUUGAAGACCAGAACAUCCAUAAACUAACACCUGUCAACAGAGGACACCAAUGAACCCAGCAAGUAGAAAGCAGAAGACCAGAACAUCCAUAAACUAACACCUGUCAACAGAGGACACUAAUGAACCCAGCAAGUAGAAAGCAGAAGACCAGAACAUCCAUAAGUAAGUAUAUGCAACAUAAUAUCUUUUCUUUCUAUUUACAGGCAUGUUGAAUUCACCGGUAACCGAUCUCCUCAAAUUCACGAUAGCGUCACAUUGUGAUGCUAUCUUGGAUUGGAGAAAGUCAAGAAUGGCCCGCUAUUAAAGGGU